CUAUCCACUAAUGUGUUUAUGACACUUAAUAAGGAUUAGACACCAAUGGCUGGGACAGCUUUGAGACAUGACCAUGUUUCUGUAUGCAACAUAGCCAUGUUAUAUUCUCGCUACAUGUUUAUCAUGAAAUCUACACAUUUUACAUAAAACCCUUUCUUGGGGUAUGGAGCCACAUGGUAUUCCUCAGCUGAUUUCCCAUUGCACAGCACAUCCACAUAUAGUGCACAUAGAACCAGUGAUUUGUGGCUAGUUUCUGUUCUGUCCUCUCCUGUCCUCCAUGACGCCGCAGGUUCCAGUGCCCAGACCAUCAUAUUCUCAGGCCAGGGAGAGUCUGGUGAAGGCUAUUCCUUCGAAGAUCUUCUGUCUCAUCACCUGUGGGGGAAAAGACUGUCGAUAUGAAGGUCCAGCGUGCUGGAGCAUAAGCCAACAGGCCAUUAAAGGUGUCUUCUCCAGCUGGGUGACCGAUGACAUUAUUGAAAUGGCACGAACUUCUACAUAUCUCAUCAAGAGAUACUGAAUCAUAAAGCAGUUCAAACAUUGAUUGCUAUUUAAUACAGUCUUUAAAAGAUAUUUACUUA